UUGGCUAGUUGGACAGUCGCUUUGUUUUUUACAAAGAGGAAAGUCCGGGCUCCACAGAGCAAGGUGCCAGAUAACCCCUGGGCAGGUAACUGACAGACAGUGCAGCAGAAAGUAAACCGCCCACUGUUGUGGGUAAGGGUGAAAGGGUGCGGUAAGAGCGCACCGCGUCAAUGGUAACAUUGAUGGCAAGGUAAACCUCACCUGGAGCAAGACCAAAUAGAGUGUCUCCAUAUUGGAACAUGUUGCUCGCAUCACGCACUCGGGUAGGUUGCUUGAGACAGAAAGUGAUUUCUGUCCUAGAUAGAUGACUGUCCUAGACAGAACCCGGCUUAUAGACUAGCCAAUCGG
rnacentral:RNase_P_RNA from 1 species